rnacentral:rRNA from 1 species
UACAGAGGAGCCAAGCGUUGUCCGGAUUGACUGGGCGUAAAGCGCACGCAGGCGGACGCGCGCGUGGGGUGUGAAAUCUGGCCGCUUAACGGCCAGGCGCCAUCCCAUACGGCGGGUCUGGAGCCUUGCAGAGGUCGGUGGAAUUGCCGGUGUAGUGGUGAAAUGCGCAGAUAUCGGGAGGAACACCGGUGGCGAAGGCGGUUCUCUGGGCCUUACCUGACGCUGAGGAGCGAAAGCGUGGGGAGCGAACAGG